rnacentral:rRNA from 1 species
AUACGGAGGAUGCGAGCGUUAUCCGGAUUUAUUGGGUUUAAAGGGAGCGCAGGCGGCGCGUUAAGUCAGCGGUGAAAUGUCCCGGCUCAACCGGGGAGCUGCCGCUGAUACUGGCGUGCUGGAGUACGGACGGCGCCGGCGGAAUGUGUCAUGUAGCGGUGAAAUGCUUAGAUAUGCCACAGAACACCGAUCGCGAAGGCAGCUGGCGAGGCCGGUACUGACGCUCAUGCACGAAAGCGUGGGGAUCAAACAGGAUUAGAUACCCUGGUAGUCCACGCAGUAAACGAUGAGGAUUUGUUGUCGGCGAUAGAUAGUCGGUGACAAAGCGAAAGCGAUAAGUCCUCCACCUGGGGAGUACGAUCGCAAGGUUGAAACUCAAAUGAAUUGACGGGG